AUUGAACGCUGGCGGCAGGCCUAACACAUGCAAGUCGAACGAGUGGCGGACGGGUGAGUAAUGUCUGGGAAACUGCCCGAUGGAGGGGGAUAACUACUGGAAACGGUAGCUAAUACCGCAUACCAUCGGAUGUGCCCAGAUGGGAUUAGCGAGUAGGUGGGGUAACGGCUCACCUAGGCGACGAUCCCUAGCUGGUGUGAGAGGAUGACCAGCCACCCUGGAACGGAGACACGGUCCAGACUCCUACGGGAGGCAGCAGUGGGGAAUUGUGGACCAUUGGCGCAAGCCGGAUGCAGCCAUGCCGCGUGUAUGAAGAAGGCCUUCGGGUUGUAAAGUUCUUUCGGCUAGGAGGCGUUACUCGCAGAAGAAGCACCGGCUAACUCCGUGCCAGCAGCCGCGGUAAUUC
rnacentral:rRNA from 1 species